ACUGUGCUAUUCCGAACUGGAAAUCCUGGUAGGUCAUAUAUAAACAGCCUGAGGCAGGAACCUCUUCAUCUGAUAGAGUAGGAC